rnacentral:rRNA from 1 species
UAGAGUUUGAUCCUGGCUCAGAACGAACGUUGGCGGCGUGGAUUAGGCAUGCAAGUCGCACGAAUCCCCAUUGGGUAACUGGUGGGGGGAAGUGGCGAAAGGGGCAGUAAGGCGUGGGUAACCUACCCUGGGGUCUGGCAUAGCCGUCCUAACGGACGGGUAAUACCAGAUGACGUGGCAACACCAAAGGGUCACCGCCCUGGGAGGGGCGCACGUGCUAUUAGCUAGUUGGCGGGGUAACGGCCCACCAAGGCAAAGAUGGCUAGCGGGUGUGAGAGCACGACCCGCGCCACUGGCACUGAGACACUGGCCAGACUCCUACGGGAGGCUGCAGUCGAGGAUCUUCGGCAAUGGGCGCAAGCCUGACCGAGCGACGCCGCGUGUGCGAUGAAGGCCUUCGGGUUGUAAAGCACUGUCGAGGGGGAGAAAAGCCGCAAGGUUUGAUCGACCCCUGGAGGAAGCACGGGCUAAGUUCGUGCCAGCAGCCGCGGUAAGACGAACCGUGCGAACGUUGUCCGGAUUCACUGGGCUUAAAGGGCGCGUAGGCGGGCACGCAAGUCGGUGGUGAAAGCCUCCGGCUCAACCGGAGAAGAGCUGUCGAUACUGCGUGUCUGGAGGGGUGUAGGGGUCUGUGGAACUGUGGGUGGAGCGGUGAAAUGCGUAGAGAUCCACAGGAACGCCGGUGGCGAAAGCGACGGACUGGACACCUUCUGACGCUGAGGCGCGAAAGCCAGGGGAGCAAACGGGACUAGAUACCCCGGUAGUCCUGGCCCUAAACGAUGGGUACUAGGUUGAAGGUUUACAUGGACUUUCAGCCGGAGCAAAAGUGUUAAGUACCCCGCCUGGGGAGUAUGGUCGCAAGGCUGAAACUCAAAGGAAUUGACGGGGGCUCACACAAGCGGUGGAGCAUGUGGCUUAAUUCGAGGCUACGCGAAGAACCUUAUCCCGGACUUGACAUGUCCGAAAGGGGUCGGAAGUAGGGGGCGGAAACGUUCCCCCAACGGUAUCCAAUCCGGAACCGACCACAGGUGCUGCAUGGCUGUCGUCAGCUCGUGUCGUGAGAUGUUGGGUUAAGUCCCGUAACGAGCGAAACCCUUGUCUCCAGUUGCCAGCGGGUCAUGCCGGGGACUCUGGAGAGACUGCCGGUGUCAAACCGGAGGAAGGCGGGGAUGACGUCAAGUCCUCAUGGCCUUUAUGUCCGGGGCUGCACACGUGCUACAAUGCCGCGCACAGAGGGAUGCCAACCCGCGAGGGGGAGCCAAUCCCAAAAAACGCGGCCCAGUUCAGAUUGCAGGCUGCAACUCGCCUGCAUGAAGUUGGAAUCGCUAGUAAUCGCAGGUCAGCAACACUGCGGUGAAUGUGUUCCUGAGCCUUGUACACACCGCCCGUCAAGCCACGAAAAUCCGGGGCAUCCGAUGUCGCCGUGCCAACCGCAAGGAGGUAAGCGCCGACGAUGAACCGGGUAAUUGGGACUAAGUCGUAACAAGGUAACCGUA